GAAAUAUAAUUCAAUAUUUCCACGAAAGAUUUGGCCACCUCCUGCACACUUCUUAAUGUCAAGCUUUAGAGGCUGAUAUAGAAGUAGAAGAGGAGGAAAAAAGCAAAUCAGACAGGUGCAACAAGUAAUUCCAGCCUUGAUGGAUUGUUAAGAAAAUAACAGGAAUGAAAAUUUUUACACCACCUGGCAUUUAGAAGUCCUUAAACAUACGAUAGCUUUCUUCCUUAGUUAUUCUGCAGGUUUGUUGUGAGGUUUGAAUGGCACAGUGUACAUGAAAGUUCCUUGCAUUUUGCCUGGUCCACAAGUAGAAGUUGUGUGUUAUGGAUGCUGUGGGUUGCCACCCAGAUCCCCUCGAAACCAUCAGCACGGAGUGGUGAUAACAGAGCUCACAGCUGAGUCUCCCUCUGGAAAUUGUUCUAGACUAAAGACAGCAGCCUUGACCAAGGUCAUAUUCCUUACCAGGGUGGUUCACACCCAAGGAAUGCUCAGUGUGUGCGUUAAAGUGGCCUUUAAAAGGCCCAACCCAAUUGACUCACUUAAGUCAACUCUGCAGGUUUAUUCCAACUUCAGAGCUCCCCGUGGGAUGACUGAGGCUUUGUUGCAGCUGACUCACACCCCUUCU
ensembl:lncRNA